rnacentral:rRNA from 1 species
AUUGAACGCUGGCGGCAUGCUUUACACAUGCAAGUCGAACGGUAACAGGCCUUCGGGUGCUGACGAGUGGCGAACGGGGGAGUAAUGCAUCGGAACGUGCCCAGAGGUGGGGGAUAACGCAGCGAAAGCUGUGCUAAUACCGCAUGUGAUCUGAGGAUGAAAGCGGGGGACCAGGCAGCAAUGUUUGGCCUCGCGCCUUUGGAGCGGCCGAUGUCAGAUUAGGUAGUUGGUGGGGUAAAGGCCUACCAAGCCGACGAUCUGUAGCUGGUCUGAGAGGACGACCAGCCACACUGGGACUGAGACACGGCCCAGACUCCUACGGGAGGCAGCAGUGGGGAAUUUUGGACAAUGGGCGCAAGCCUGAUCCAGCAAUGCCGCGUGCGGGAAGAAGGCCUUCGGGUUGUAAAGCGCUUUUGUACGGAACGAAAAGGAUCUGGCUAAUACCUGGGGCUGAUGACGGUACCGUAAGAAUAAGCACCGGCUAACUACGUG